rnacentral:lncRNA from 1 species
CAGGGGCUGGCCCGGUGGUGCAGCAGUUAAGUGCACAUGUUCCGCUUCAGAGGCCCGGGGUUCACCGAUUCAGAUCCUGGGUGCAGACACGGCACCGUUUGGCAAGCCAUGCUGUGGCAGGCAUCCCACAUCUUGGAUGGGCCUUCGUUUGGUGCUUUAAAGUAGAGGGAUGAAUGAAAUGGACAUUAAAGUUCCCUUCAGUUCCAGAGUUUCCUCAUCCAAUUAGCGUAUCCUUGGGGAGUCUCUCAGUGGCCUCCUUCCCACUUCCAACACUUGUGAAUGGACAGAUGACUCACCAGAAACGGGAGAUAGACAUCUUUUGAAGCCAAUUUUGAUAAAAGAGGUGUUUCCCUCUACUCCACAGCCAGCCGGGCUUGUCGGCCUUAAGCAAAACCAAAUAUAAAUAUUGAAUUUGAGUCUACCCAUGAAACAACAGGAAAGCUUUAGCCCAGCCAGCCACCACCAUCCCAUUACUCUAGAGGCACUAAAUCAGGAUUUCUCAAUCAAGGCACCAUUGACAUUCGGGACCAGAUGAUUCUUUGUUGUAUGGGGCUCCCCUGUGCAUUGUAGGAUGUUCGGUAGCACCCUGGCCCCUAUUCACUAGGUGCCAGUAGCAGCCAUCCUCACAAUAUAAUGUUCAAAAGUGUCUAUGGACGUUGCAAAUGUCCACUGGAGGCAAAUUGUCCCCAGAUAAGAACCACCGCACUAAAUGGACAGAAAUCUUCAUCCUCGAGGUAUAGAGGGUACACAAGUAUAAUCCCAUCCUAUUUAUCCUAUAUGCCAAACUUUUGGCAUGAUUUUAAACCCAGGAGUAACAGAGAUGGAUGUCCCUUCUUGGUCUAUGCAGAAGCUUAAACAAUAAAAAGACAUUUCCCAUAACUAGGAGAGGCCUUCCCAAGAAGACUAUUGGCCAUAUGUUCAAGAGCCAUCAGGUUCUCUGCGCCUUUGAUCCUAAGUAGGAGAUCUGAGUAGCAUUUGUAAUAGAGGCAUCUAUGUUUUUGUCUAACUGCCUGAUAGUGUGGGGAGUUAUCUUCUUCAGAGAGGACAUCUCAGUCUACCCAUGGCAGAAUAACUAAAAUCAUCCCCAUGAUUCUCCAUGGUGUGAUCCCUGGCUGGAUUUGAGAAGAUGUAAAGGAUAGUGUGAGGGCUCUCUAUCCCAUCCUGGUACCACCUUGCAGACGGCUCAUCUGGAGUUAGAACCUGCCUACGUCUAUCCUGCAGACUUGAUGAGGUACCUUGGAGUUCAUCAUAAAAGUCAAGGCUGGAAGGAAC